GGCUCAGAUUGAACGCUGGCGGCAUGCCUUACACAUGGCAAGUCGAACGGCAGCUACGGACUUCGGUCUGGUGGCGAGUGGCGAACGGGUGAGUAAUGUAUCGGAACGUACCUUUCAGUGGGGAUAACGUAGCGAAAGUUACGCUAAUACCGCAUAUUCUGUGAGCAGGAAAGCAGGGGAUCGCAAGACCUUGCGCUGAUUGAGCGGCCGAUAUCAGAUUAGCUAGUUGGUGAGGUAAAGGCUCACCAAGGCGACGAUCUGUAGCGGGUCUGAGAGGAUGAUCCGCCACACUGGAACUGAGACACGGUCCAGACUCCUACGGGAGGCAGCAGUGGGGAAUUUUGGACAAUGGGGGCAACCCUGAUCCAGCCAUGCCGCGUGAGUGAAGAAGGCCUUCGGGUUGUAAAGCUCUUUCGGCCGGGAAGAAAUCGCAUGGGCUAAUACCCUGUGCGGAUGACGGUACCGGCAUAAGAAGCACCGGCUAACUACGUG
rnacentral:rRNA from 1 species